rnacentral:rRNA from 1 species
GACGAACGCUGGCGGCGUGCUUAACACAUGCAAGUCGAACGGAAAGGCCCUGCUUUUGUGGGGUGCUCGAGUGGCGAACGGGUGCGUAACACGAGAGUAACCUGCCCUUGACUUUGGGAUAACUUCAGGAAACGGGGGCUAAUACCGGAUAGGAGCUCCUGCUGCAUGGUGGGGGUUGGAAAGUCGCGGCGGUUGGGGAUGGACUCGCGGCUUAUCAGCUUGUUGGUGGGGUAGUGGCUUACCAAGGCAUUGGCGGGUAGCCGGCCUGAGAGGGUGACCGGCCACAAUGGGACUGAGAUACGGCCCAGACUCCUACGGGGGGCAGCAGUGGGGAAUAUUGUACAAUGGGCGGAAGCCUGAUGCAGCGACGCCGCGUGCGGGAUGACGGCCUUCGGGUUGUAAACCGCUUUCGCCUGUGACGAAGCGUGAGUGACGGUAAUGGGUAAAGAAGCACCGGCUAACUACGUG